UCUCUCUCUCUCUCUCUCUCCCUCUCUCCGCCUAAUAGGCUAAUAGUCCACUAGGAACACAGCUUCUGUCCAUUUCUAUACUUUUUUCUCUCAAUCACCGCUUUCCCCUUUCUUCCUCUUUCUCUAUACAAGUUUAUUCCGCUACCUGCAGCUCAAUCCUUCCACAAUGCUUAUUCACUUUCUUUCUUAAUUUCUUUCUAUAUUUGUUUUUAAUUUGUUCUUUCACUGCAAAAACAAGGCUGCCUCUCAAGUUCCUGAUCCUUCAAGAUUCUGAUAACAUUACACAUUGGACAACUGAUUCCUAUAUGAUGCUUGAAUAAUGGGUUCUGAGCAGUGGUUUGGUUUAAUCUAAUGUAGUUUUGAGACUUCUGUGUCAAAUGAUGGCAUCAAAAACUGGUAAAUCUUCCGCAGAACAACAGAAACCAUCUGGUUUUCAAAGAGUGGAAGCAAAUACUCUUCGGCCUUUGCCUUCACAGGUUUCAAAGACCAGCAAAUCUGAGGUUAUUGAUCAUGAGCAGGUGCCAAGGUCAGUAGAAAACACACCAAAAGAAGUUAUGCUAGAAGCUUCUGAAAAUAAAAUAGCAAAUUCUAAUAAAAAAGGGACUGCUGAUUCAUUGAUUAAUACGUUGGAGUCAAGUCUUUCCUUAACUACUCCUGUACAAGCAUCCACUGAAGCAGAUUCUUACAUUAAUGUGACAAGAGGCUCACAGGAUGUUUCUGUUAAUCAAGAGAAGAAAACAUCAGAGUAUGGAAGUGUGAAAAACAGUUCUGUAUCUGCCAAAGUUAGUGAUGGAACCAGCAGUCUUGUUAAGACUAGUGGAAGUGCCAAGAACAGUGAUCAUGUUGAUUAUGUGGAGAGUGGCAAGAGCAGCAUGUGUAGAGGAAGCACAAGCAGUGAUUUAAGUGAUGAGAGCACCUGUAGCAGCUUCAGUAGCAGUAUCAGUAAACCACAUAAAGCAAAUGACUUGAGAUGGGAAGCCAUCCAAGCUGUUAGAGCAAAAGAUGGAGCUUUGGGCUUGAGUCAUUUUAGACUGCUUAAGAGGUUGGGUUGUGGGGAUAUUGGGAGUGUCUACCUGUCAGAGUUGAGUGGAACGAAGUGUUAUUUUGCAAUGAAGGUUAUGGACCUCUUGCCACUCUCCACAUAAUCAACAUGAUCACUGUUCUUGGCACUUCCACU
rnacentral:misc_RNA from 1 species